CCUACGGGAGGCAGCAGUGGGGAAUAUUGGGCAAUGGGCGCAAGCCUGACCCAGCAACGCCGCGUGAAGGAAGAAGGCUUUCGGGUUGUAAACUUCUUUUGUCAGGGACGAAGCAAGUGACGGUACCUGACGAAUAAGCCACGGCUAACUACGUGCCAGCAGCCGCGGUAAUACGUAGGUGGCAAGCGUUAUCCGGAUUUACUGGGUGUAAAGGGCGUGUAGGCGGGGAAGCAAGUCAGAUGUGAAAACCACGGGCUCAACCUGUGGCCUGCAUUUGAAACUGUUUUUCUUGAGUGCUGGGGAGGCAAUCGGAAUUCCGGGUGUAGCGGUGAAAUGCGUAGAUAUACGGAGGAACACCAGUGGCGAAGGCGGAUUGCUGGACAGUAACUGACGCUGAGGCGCGAAAGCGUGGGGAGCAAACAGGAUUAGAUACCCUUGUAGUC
rnacentral:rRNA from 1 species